rnacentral:rRNA from 1 species
AUACGGAGGGGGCAAGCGUUGUUCGGAAUUACUGGGCGUAAAGGGCGCGUAGGCGGAUUAUCAAGUCAGAGGUGAAAGCCCUGGGCUCAACCUGGGAACUGCCUUUGAAACUGAUAGUCUUGAGUCCGGGAGAGGAUGGCGGAAUUCCCAGUGUAGAGGUGAAAUUCGUAGAUAUUGGGAAGAACACCAGUGGCGAAGGCGGCCAUCUGGCUCGGUACUGACGCUGAGGCGCGAAAGCGUGGGGAGCAAACAGGAUUAGAAACCCCAGUAGUCC